UCCCCCAAGGUUGGAAAGUGCAUGCAGGA
rnacentral:piRNA from 1 species